UUCGUCACACUAUCAUUAACUGAAUCCAUAGGUUAAUGAGGCGAACCGGGGGAACUGAAACAUCUAAGUACCCCGAGGAAAAGAAAUCAACCGAGAUUCCCCCAGUAGCGGCGAGCGAACGGGGAGGAGCCCAGAGCCUGAAUCAGCAUGUGUGUUAGUGGAAGCGUCUGGAAAGGCGCGCGAUACAGGGUGACAGCCCCGUACACAAAAGCGCAUGUGCUGUGAGCUCGAUGAGUAGGGCGGGACACGUGGUAUCCUGUCUGAAUAUGGGGGGACCAUCCUCCAAGGCUAAAUACUCCUGACUGACCGAUAGUGAACCAGUACCGUGAGGGAAAGGCGAAAAGAACCCCGGCGAGGGGAGUGAAAAAGAACCUGAAACCGUGUACGUACAAGCAGUGGGAGCACCCUUUGGGUGUG
rnacentral:rRNA from 1 species